rnacentral:rRNA from 1 species
AUACCCCACUAUGCUUAGCCACAAAACUUGACCAACUACUAUAUUAUCUGCCAGAGUACUACGAGCGCCAGCUUAAAACUCAAAGGACUUGGCGGUGCCCCAAACCCACCCAGAGGAGCCUGUUCUAUAAUCGAUACCCCACGUUUUACCUCACCAUCUUUUGCAAUCAGCCUAUAUACCACCGUCGCCAGCCAACCUCUUGAGAGGCCCACAAUUAGCAGAACUGCAGCCCGCAAGCACGUCAGGUCAAGGUGUAGCACAUAGGAUGGAAAGAAAUGGGCUACAUUUUCUUCCGCAAGAAAACCACGAACAAUACAAUGAAAAAUAAUUUGAAGGCGGAUUUGGCAGUAAGAAGGAAUCAUCACAUUCUUCUUAAUUCGGCUCUGAGGCGCGCACACACC